AGGUUAGCCUGAGCUACAUACAAUAUGAGACCCUGUCUUAGAAGGAGAAGAAAACAGGAGAAUUCGAACCUACCCAUCUCAAGUACUUUUCAGAAAGAAGACAGGGAGGUUUGCCUUUAAGGGCUGAUACCCUAGUACCCGUGGCAAUUCUACGACAGUUGGAACCCACAGUUGGUUGGCACAGCUUGACUGGCACAGGUUGGAACUGAAACUAUAACAGGAGCCCCAAGAUGGUUGCCAGCAUGAGAGCAAGAGGUGUAGUGCCUCUGAUCCUGCAGAUGGGCAGAAGCUCCACAAAUUUCUACAAAGGGCAGACAAUGUGGCUUGUGAUCUCUUUCCUCUACCUUUCUGUCAUGUACAUAUCAGAAGUGCCCUGGCUUAAUAGAAAGACCGACUUUCAGUGCCAUGGGAACAUCUCUGAUGCCUGUUUGGCUGAGUGCUACAACCAACAUUUCUCCGUGUCUGUGAUAGGAGUUUGGAACACUGUUGGCUUGGUUGUCUACUCUAUCUUUUUUAUGAUGGAGUUUUCAGUCUUUCGGAAUUUAAAUAUAAGGUCAAAAUAUUCACAGCAACCCUUAGGGGAAGACCUAUCCAACUAUAUGUUCUUUUAUGAAAGUGGCGCAAAAAGGGAGGAGAUAAUUUCCAACUUGUCCAGGGAGAAGCUCUUGUUGUCUGUGUUCCUUACCUACUAUCUGCUUCAGAUGGCCAUACAAGGGGUCUUCCUGAUCAUCCUAUGGUACUAUCAACGAUCCCUGGUUAAGGAAGAUAUUUGGUGCCAGACAAUUAAGUGUCAAGGGCCAUACCUGUGUGUGUUUAUGGGGAUACAGGAGAAGUUAAUGUCCAUCACGCUUAUAACUAUUCUUUCUGUGAUAAUCAUAAUCUUCUGCAUUAUAUUCUUCCUGUAUACCAUUGGUCUAUACGCUCUCACGAGUGUAAUUCUGGUGAACACUAGAAUGAUUAAAUUCUAGCAGCUGUCUUGAUGAACACUGACCCAACCUAGAAUGGAAAUAAAACUGGACUAGUUUUGACUA